AAAUAGAUAAAAUCACUCAAAUUAGGUAAUAAGUAGCUCAAUUGUGCAUUCAAAAUAAGUAAUAAAGAUGUUGUUUAUGUAUAUUAUCAAACUCCCCCACACUUAUCUUGUGCUUGCCCUCAAGCACUCCACAAUACCAUUCAAUAGUUCUCAAUCUUUCAUCCUUAACCCAACUAUCCCAACCAUUCCCUCAUAGCUCAUAUAUUACAUCUCAAUCUUUGAAUUAUAAAAACUGUCAUCAACUAGUAGUUCCAAAAUUGAGUUUUGUGAAAUCACACUAAUGGGCAACUGCUCUGACAGUACUCGAACAUAAAAUGGAGAGGUUUU
rnacentral:lncRNA from 1 species